UACGUAGGGGGCAAGCGUUGUUCGGAAUUACUGGGCGUAAAGCGCGCGUAGGUGGUCUGGCAAGUCAGGUGUGAAAGCCCCGGGCUCAACUUGGGAACUGCAUUUGAUACUGCCAAACUAGAGUACGGAAGAGGUGACUGGAAUUCCCAGUGUAGCGGUGAAAUGCGUAGAUAUUGGGAAGAACACCGGUGGCGAAGGCGGCGACCUGGUCCUUGACUGACGCUGAGGCGCGAAAGCGUGGGGAGCAAACAGG
rnacentral:rRNA from 1 species